rnacentral:misc_RNA from 1 species
CAAGCAGAAUACAAUAUACUAUAAAAAAUUGAAAUCCAAGAUGGCGGCCGCUACAAAAUGGCGGAUAACAUAGGUUUUAUCAAUCCCAUCAAUAUGGGUAUCAAAUGAAAGGGCUCAACAAGCAGAAUACAAUAUACUAUAAAAAAUUGAAAUCCAAGAUGGCGGCCGCUACAAAAUGGCGGAUAACGUAGGUUUUAUCGAUCUCAUCAAUAUGGGUAUCAAAUGAAAGUGCUCAACCAGUAUAAUCAAUGUACUAUAUAAAAUUAAAAUCCAAGAUGGCGGCCUCUACAAAAUGGCGGAUAA